rnacentral:rRNA from 1 species
UAAUACAGAGGGUGCGAGCGUUAAUCGGAAUUACUGGGCGUAAAGGGCGCGUAGGCGGUAAUAUGUGUGGGAUGUGAAAGCCCCGGGCUUAACCUGGGAAGUGCAUACCAAACUAUAUUACUGGAGUAUAUGAGAGGGUGGUGGAAUUUCCGGUGUAGCAGUGAAAUGCGUAGAGAUCGGAAGGAACGUCAAUGGCGAAGGCAGCCACCUGGCAUAAUACUGACGCUGAGGCGCGAAAGCGUGGGGAGCAAACAGG